rnacentral:lncRNA from 1 species
UUUAGGUCUGAUUGUAGGUACCUAAUAAAUGCUGGUUACACAAAAUCAAUAUAUUAAAAUUUAAUUUUUUUUUCUUUAUUAGGAAGCUGCUCAUGCCCAGGAGAAACUUUACAGAAAAAAUGAACACAACCAAGCC